AAGCCUGAACUCGAGUAGGGCCCAAGCCAGCCAGGAAGGAGGAGGCAGCCAGAGUGGCCACCACUGCUCUCUGCAGCAGAAGACCCCUUGCUGCCAGCUCACAGGGACAAGAAAAUGGAUUCUGAAUCUCUUUGUGCCAGCCACUCUGCAUGCAUACCUUAAACAUAAGAAAAGACCUGCUGGAUCAGGCCGAAGAAGGCCCAUCUAGUCCAGCAUCCUAAUGGCUAAGAUUGCCUUUGGUUGGCUUGCCAUUUCUAUGGACACACAAGCCCUGCUGCUGCACAACCAUCUGCACAAACCUACCCUAGCGAUGCUGUACACAUUUGUUUGACACAUGGAAACAUUAUCUACCGAGGGAAAGCAAAGACAAGUCCAAUGUGAUUGCCCAACCUUUCAUCACAAGAUCCUCUCAGAUAUCACAUCAAGAGUUAUUGAGUUAUUUUUUUUAAUUGUAUUUAUUUUUCUAUGUAAACUGCUUUGAGAAUUUUGUUGAAGAGAAGUAUAUAAAUAUUUGUCAUAAUCAUAGCUUACCUGCAUACAAUCAUUUUGAAGGUCUUCAUAGACUCUACAUGUAUGUGACUGUGUGUAUGCAGGAUUCUCCCUAUGCAGUUGGGAACUCCGUGGGCCUGAUCAUGUUGAGCACCCGAUGUGCAGAGUUGUAUGUGUGGAGGGUUUAAGCAGAUUUUCAAAAUCAAAGUAUGUUGGGGUAGAGACCACUGCUUGAAUUUCAAUCCCCUUCACACAAGCAUGCACUGAUAGGGUCCAGGCUACAUUCUUUUAGGAAGCUAAAUGCCCAAAGCCAAAUUAGAGUGAAAUUAAUAGUAACCUUUGUUGCUCUCAAGUCAGAUAAAUUGAAAGAGGUAGGAAAACAAGGUGUAUGUAACCAAAUUGUCAAGAUGAGAAGAACUAAGGAAAACAGCCUGUUCAGAUGUUAUUUGCCCAAUACCCCAGAAUUGUCCUUUGGGAGAAAUCCCCUCUCCUGGACACUUCUUGAGGAGAGAAGCAAAUGUCUGAGGUGGGAAAUAAGUCCCAGAACCAGAGGAGACCUUGUGUUCGAGAUCCAUGAAUUUCCUGCUUCGGUGGUUCAUUUCUUUCCACGACAGGAGUAGCACAUAAGUCUGAGGUGUGCAUGGACACAUGUGCGUGCACACACAGGAUAAUUGUGAAGGUGAAUCAUGUCCAGCUAAACCUUAAGUUUAACAAAAGUUCUCUUGCAGAAGGCUUCUAGCACACUCCCCAUCAUUUCCACCACCCCUGCGCAUAGAUCUUUCUGGAGUGAUGCACUUUCAUAAUUGUGAACCUCCUACCUUUAUCCUGUGGAUUUGAUUUUAACAAGGCUUUCUUUUUUAAAAAAAAAAAAAAGGCUCUAGGGUGAAUUUUGUAUAUUUUUAUUUUGGUACUUGUUAUGCCAGUGUUUCCUCCUGUUGAAUUACAACCCUUUCAACAAUAAAUAAAAAUAAAAUUUUUAAAAAGAAGGCCAUAUCUGGUGGAAUGCAAAGACAUGAUGUACUUGUUUUAAAUCUGGAGACUUACCACUAUGGAAGACAUUAUCAGGGGGCUUUCUAAUAUCAGACAAGAUCACGUUGUUUCUUCCAAAGCGUUUUCUAAGAAAGAGGGCAAAAUUAGUUUCAGGGUAGUUCUUUUACAUUCGUUUUAAAUAGAAUGCCUUGUGCAAACCACCCCAAAGCGACUCAGUUUUGCUAUGAGAUUCUACUUUUUAGCCCAAGUUCCUAGGGUUCCAAAAAAUGAAUAUUCCCACACCCUUCUCAAUCAGAAGAAUUAAUGCCCAUGGCCCACCCAGCUAUCAGUCUACAUACAUGCACCGAUGCCCAAUGAAUGUGAAACUAGGGAUGUUUGACUUCUGCCUUGAACAAAUCUUGACCUGGUAUUCUUUUCAAUAUAAAAAACUUCUUGUGGUAAGACAGAACUACAACUUACCUCAAGAGCUUAGCAAGUCCUACUCCAAGUUGGCCUA